rnacentral:rRNA from 1 species
AUUGAACGCUGGCGGCGUGCCUAAUACAUGCAAGUCGAACGGAGUGGCGCACGGGUGAGUAAUAUAUAGGUAAUCCUCCCUACACAGGGGAACAACCUUUGGAAACGACUGCUAAUACCUCCUAGUGUAGGAUGAUACUAUAACGUAUCAGCUAGUUGGUAAGGUAAUGGCGUACCAAGGCUAUGACGCGUAACUGGUCAAAGAGGAUGAUCAGGCACAUUGGAAGUGAGACACUGGCCAAAAUCAUACGGGAGGGAGCAGAAAGGUAUAUUGGGCAAGGGGGGAAUGUCUGACGGAGCUACGGAGCGUGGAGGAUGACAAGUUGCGGAGCGUAAAAUCAGUUUAUCAGGAAAGCGGUACCAGAUGAAUAAGCACCGGCUAACUCCGUGCCAGCAGCCGCGGUAAUUC